ACGCUGGCGGCACGCCUAACACAUGCAAGUCGAACGAAGUAGCAAUACUUAGUGGCAGACGGGUGAGUAACAUGUAGGUAUCUGCCCUUUGGCCUGGAAUAACACGAGGAAACUUGUGCUAAUACCGGAUAAGUCUUUACGGAGAAAGCUUUAUGCACCAUUGGAUGAGCCUGCACUUGAUUAGUUUGUUGGUGGGGUAAUGGCCUACCAAGACUGUGAUCAAUAGCUGAUUUGAGAGGAUGAUCAGCCACAUUGGGACUGAGACACGGCCCAAACUCCUACGGGAGGCAGCAGUGGGGAAUCUUGCACAAUGGAGGAAACUCUGAUGCAGCGAUGCCGCGUGAGUGAAGAAGGCCCUUGGGUUGUAAAGCUCUUUCGUCGGGGAAGAAAAUGACUGUACCCGAAUAAGAAGGUCCGGCUAACU
rnacentral:rRNA from 1 species